UACGUAGGGUGCAAGCGUUUAAUCGGAAUUACUGGGCGUAAAGCGUGCGCAGGCGGUUUUGUAAGUCUGUCGUGAAAUCCCCCGGGCUCAACCUGGGAAUUGCGAUGGAGACUGCAAGGCUAGAAUCUGGUAGAGGGGGGUGGAAUUCCCGGUGUAGUGGUGAAAUGCGUAGAGAUCGGGAGGAACACCAAUGGCGAAGGCAGCUUGCUGGGACGGUACUGACGCUGAGACGCGAAAGCGUGGGGAGCAAACAGGG
rnacentral:rRNA from 1 species